AUGUCAUGGCUUAGCUUCAAUGAAGCUGUGGCAGAACAUAUCAAAAUGGGGAUAGGCCAGGAGGUGCGGUUGUUUGCAUUAGACACUAUCGAGAGCACAGUUGAUCUUGUACUUAAUGGUCAGCAACUAAAUUCGCAUUUUAUUGGCAAUCAUUGGGACUUUGAGGCCAAGAAAUCAUUUCUGUUAGCUGAGGUUGUUACGUUGGAGGCACCCAAUGCAAAGAAAGUAGGAAAGAGGCCUCCAAAACAGCCAGCUGCUCCCAAACAGCCGCGUGCUCCCAAACAUCCGCGCGCUCCCAAAAAGCCAGCUACUCCAAAAAGACAACUAACAAAUCUGUAG
rnacentral:rRNA from 1 species